rnacentral:tRNA from 1 species
UUGUUGAUGGCUGAGCUAGAAGCAAUAGAUUGUAGAUCUACUAACGAGAUUAAUUUCUCUCAACAAA